CACCGCGGUUAUACGAGAGGCCCAAGUUGAUAAAUGCCGGCGUAAAAAGUGGUUAGUAUCAUAUUUUACUAAAGCCAAACAUCUUCAAAACUGUCAUACGUUCUCGAAGACAGGAAGCUCCUCCACGAAAGUGGCUUUAAACUGUACAUACCACGAAAGCUAGGGAA
rnacentral:rRNA from 1 species